GACGAACGCUGGCGGCGUGCUUAACACAUGCAAGUCGAACGGUAAGGCCCUUCGGGGUACACGAGUGGCGAACGGGUGAGUAACACGUGGGUGAUCUGCCCUGCACUUCGGGAUAAGCCUGGGAAACUGGGUCUAAUACCGGAUAGGACCACUGCCUGCAUGGGUGGUGGUGGAAAGCUUUUGCGGUGUGGGAUGGGCCCGCGGCCUAUCAGCUUGUUGGUGGGGUGUUGGCCUACCAAGGCGACGACGGGUAGCCGGCCUGAGAGGGUGACCGGCCACACUGGGACUGAGAUACGGCCCAGACUCCUACGGGAGGCAGCAGUGGGGAAUAUUGCACAAUGGGCGCAAGCCUGAUGCAGCGACGCCGCGUGAGGGAUGACGGCCUUCGGGUUGUAAACCUCUUUCAGCACCGACGAAGCACAAGUGACGGUAGGUGCAGAAGAAGGACCGGCCAACUACGUGCCAGCAGCCGCAGUAA
rnacentral:rRNA from 1 species